CAGUGGCAAAGCUAGGCUAGGUCUUGGAGGCUGGUAGAAGGCGACGCGGGUGAAGGCAGGAGGCUGAUGGAGAGACUGGGGGGAAGAAAAGCCGAAAUGGAUUCCCGGUGCCUUGGAUGGAGGACCAGAGGGGAAUUGCAAGCUCCUUCAACUGUUCUGUCCGGUGAGAAGUGAUCUAGCUUGGACUGACAAGAGGCUCAGGGAGCCCUCACGUUCUUUCGCUUUUUUACCUGCCAAUCAAACUGCUACAAGACAACACCCUGAUCUGGCAUGGACAUCGCGGGUCCAAGCCUGUAGCCCCAAAUCGGAUAAUCUCUGCAGCUGAUAACAAGCAAAAAAGAAGCCGGGCAACAGCCAUAUUAAAGAAGAGAACAUCUCUGAGGAUGCCACCCUGAAUGUUUUAUUUUCUCCAGGAAAGUAGAGUUCUCUUUGAGAGUUCUAGCCUGUGAACUCAGUAUGUAAAUGUGGUCAUCAAGCAAGACUGAACUGCCAAGAGGGAAGAUUUUGAACGUUUCGCUUUCUUAAAACCCUUGAGAGCAUCCCUCCUUCCAGUGGUACUUUACUCAAAGUUUCCCCCUUUUUCCAGCACUAGUGAAAACGGCUCCAAAGCAACAGGGCAAUAGCUAAAUCAAUUGUGCUAUGAAGUUGUUGAGAUGGCAUUUUAUCUGAAUCCUUUGUCAAAAUUAGAUUUUAAGUAGGGAUGAGUGUCCUUUUGGGAGAGGGGGACACGGGAGAGUGCAAGCAGAAGGGGA